rnacentral:misc_RNA from 1 species
UGGAGGAACAGAAUGCUGCAGUAGGUUUCUUAGCACUAGGUCAAGAUUGAAAGUACAGCACGACGAAGACACGUCUUGCAAUAUAUAAAUGCAUUCAAAUAAAUACAGUACUUAUUGACCUUCUUUGGUGUAUAUUUGUUCAUGAUUUACCCUGUUGAAUUUGAUGGAGUAGUGCUGCUGCCAACUGCAAUGUUGCCUGCAAGCGUUUCUGUGGGUCUGUUUCUUCAUCAGCUGCAUUUUGCAGUUGGCCCACGUUCGUGCCAUGCUGAAGCUCUCUUGGAGGUGGGCCUGGCAAACUCGCCAUUGCUUGCUGUUGUUGCUGUACUUGACCAAACUGAGAUGAUGAAUGAUCAACAGGCUGAUUGUUUGGGAAUGAAAGAUUCUGCUGUGGCCUGUAUGAGUUGUCAGGCAGGUAAGCAGUGCCUGUUUGUCUAGAAUCUUGUCCUGUUGAUGCAACCCCCGAUUGUCUCUGCUGCCCAAGAAGUGAUGAGGUUAACAAUGCAAGUUGUUCUGAUUGAAAAGGUGCAGGUGGUGUCUUUGCCUCCGGGGGAGGUCUAUUAUUACCAUUUGAAUGGAAAUUUGGAACUUCACCCCUAUAGAUGCUAGAACUUUCCUGCCCUGUACCAGGCAUGGCCGGGUUAUAUCCCUGACCGAUGGUAGGAUCAUUUCUGCCACUGGAUGAUUGUGAGAUGAUAUUCUUGACACUAGGAUUUUGGUUUUGCAUAUCAUGGGAAGACCAGUUCUGUCCCAUGGCAGGGUACUGCUGAUUGACCAUGUAAUUAUGCCUGUCUCCACUAAAUGACUCAGAAAAGUUACCAGCUGGAUGAAGAGAGCCUGAAAAUGAAGCAGCUGGAGGUCCUGUAUCUAUCCCAGGGAACGAUGUAUUGCUGAUUCCUGGUCUCUGAGUGGCUGCGUAAGAUGUCAGUGCAGCAUUAGGCCCAGAAGGCGAUAUCGGCUGGGCAAAUGAUGUCAUGCCCUGGAAACCGGUGAUACCAGUUUCAUUCUUCUCAGAAUGAG